CAUCAAGGCUGACAACAUGAUUUUAAAGCAGCAGAUCGAGACCCUUCGUGGCUGCCAUGAUCACGGACUAGAAGACGUGAAGAAUAGUGGCAAGCCUGACGGCCUGAACGCCGAGAAAGACCAAGGCGUGGAGGACUGGGACGCUGCCGAACAUAACCAAGACGAGGCAGUGAAUGUUCCCCUUGAAGAUGAACCUCCGGUUCGUUCCCCAGGCGAAAAUUCAGAGACCGAUCUUCCGAGACUCGAGAGCUUUAAGCCCCUGCAACUGCUAGGGAGUGGAGGUG